rnacentral:rRNA from 1 species
UGGGGAAUAUUGGACAAUGGGGGAAACCCUGAUCCAGCCAUGCCGCGUGUGUGAAGAAGGCCUUAUGGUUGUAAAGCACUUUAAGCGAGGAGGAGGGUACUGGUAUUAAUACUACCAGCUACUGGACGUUACUCGCAGAAUAAGCACCGGCUAACUCUGUGCCAGCAGCCGCGGUAAUACAGAGGGUGCGAGCGUUAAUCGGAUUUACUGGGCGUAAAGCGUGCGUAGGCGGCUAAUUGAGUCGGAUGUGAAAUCCCCGAGCUUAACUUGGGAAUUGCAUUCGAUACUGGUUAGCUAGAGUGUGGGAGAGGAUGGUAGAAUUCCAGGUGUAGCGGUGAAAUGCGUAGAGAUCUGGAGGAAUACCGAUGGCGAAGGCAGCCAUCUGGCCUAACACUGACGCUGAGGUACGAAAGCAUGGGGAGCAAACAGG